rnacentral:rRNA from 1 species
GACAGAGGAGCCAAGCGUUGUCCGGACUGACUGGGCGUAAAGCGCCCGCAGGCGGCCGUGCACGUGGGGUGUGAAAGCGCUCGGCUUAACUGAGCGAGGCCAUCCCAUACGGCGCGGCUCGAGCCGUCCAGAGGCCGGUGGAAUUGCCGGUGUAGUGGUGAAAUGCGUAGAUAUUGGGAGGAACACCAGUGGCGAAGGCGGCUCGCUGGACCGGAACUGACGCUGAGGCGCGAAAGCGUGGGGAGCAAACAGG